CCCCUUUUAAAGCGCUCUGUGGGCCUUUUGCUAAUGACCCACUGAGCUGUGAAGAAAGGUCAAAGUAAAAACACCACUUUUGGGUGAAGCAGCAGCAUAUUGUGUAGUUUUGCUUCAAUUGGUGGUAUGAUAAGG